rnacentral:lncRNA from 1 species
GGCCCGUUAACACGAGCAAGAAGGGAUCGGAGGCCUGGCCUCUGACCACAGGGAGGACCCGUGCAGCAUGGCGUAGCUCUUCUCUCAGACAAGCCCGAUCAAACCGCGCUUUGGUCAGUAUAAGCGAUCCAGGAGUAUUUUUACACGCCUCCAUCUCUGACUUCAGAAAUUCCAGGGAGGCAAGAGCAACCUGGGGGGAAAGAGAGAAUUCAUCUCCUUACAACUCGGCAGGACAGAAGUUUCAAGACCACGCAGAUGGUUUGGCCAGGCGCCUGGAUUCUGGAGCAAUGCAAGUUCGGGGACAGCAAGGAGGCAGAGGCAAGCGGAGGCAGGGAAAAGGCUAGAGAGUGAGUUCGUAUCUUUAUUUGUACAUGUCUUUAUUGUUUGAAUUUGACAGUGGGCAUAUUCAUGCAUCGUUCUUUGUUUUUAAAUCCCCGACCUGCACAAGAGCCCGACUCCACCCUUCUCCUGCUGUUUUCCCAUGGUAACGGAGCGGCAGUGAUUAGCAGGGAGAAGCCCCUAACUAGGUGUUCGUACCAAGGCACUGGAAUGAUGAGAAAUCUGUAUUUUAAAAGAGCUUCUGGUUACUUCUACUCGGCCCUGUAGCAGCCUCGCCAAGGUGGCGGGCAGCCCAAAGUCACAUCCACCACAAGCAACCCUAAAUAGCUUUGGUUGGACUGACAGCCCAGUUCCUCACUCCCCUGCUGUGCGGUCCAGGUCACAGCCACCUGCUGGGACCCGCAAUGGGCAUGGUGCUUCCCACGCUCUGCCUAGGGGUGCGGCCACGUGACUGGCUCUGGCCAAUGGGAAGGGGCUCUGGGCCUGGGCGUUGAGGAACAAGCCUGGGCCACGCCACCCGCGUGGGGACCGUGAGACGCAGGAGCUGUUUGCCACAGAUCUGCAGGGUGAACACCCAGGAAGCCCAGGCUGAGGCUCUUGGCCGUGGACCUGGUGCGCAGGUGCGUGCGUUUCUGUCUGUUACUCGCACUUGGUCUCGUCCGUUAGUGCGCGAUCUCGCGGGAACUCUGAGCUCAUCUUGGCGGAUGGAAAGCCCAUCUGGGGCUGUCUGGGCCCAGGGGAUGCUAACAGAGCCAUCACGUGACCAAACUCUUCUCCGCCCCUUCCCCUCCCCGCCCCCCAGCACUCUUGGCCCUGUGGUGCAGGGUGCAUGGCCUGUGAACUUUCCAGAAGGUAUAGGCGUGGUGAGCCCCAGGAAGAAAAGUGGCGUGGACCCCAGAUUCGAAAGGGAAAUUGUGAAGACUAACCCGUGUCUAAGUAAAUAUUUAUGAAAUACAUCGUUGCGCCACCUUUGUGAAUGGUCCCAGUAGGCUGAGAAUGUCACUGCAUGUGAGAGGAAGUUGCAGUUUUUGUUUUCUCACGUGACAAAAGGGCCCUCCUGUGCGAGGUAACAGCCGAGAGUUCCUAGGCAGCCGUACACUGAGGCCCUGAUGGUGAAAUGAUUAUGUUAGGGAGGCUUCAGGGCCCCUUGAGGCUUGGUCAGGCAGAUGUGGGUGUUUUUCUCACACCAAGAAGUCAGUCGGAAAUGGGCUCAGUUCCCUUUGCUGUGUAUUUGGCCAGAGACACUCAUGUAUCCACUCCUGAACCAAAUGCUGGUAAAGCGAAAGGAGACAGGCUUUUAUUUAUUUAAUGAGACACAUCUUCUGUGUCUGGCAUCCUCCUGAGCACUUCCCAGUACUAACUCAGCCUUCUUGCAGCCCUGUAGGAAGGGUGUAAUGGCUAGCCACGCAUUACAGAUGAGGAAACUCAGGCUCAGAGAAGUUAGGUUACUUGGCCAAGGUUGCACAGCUUCUAAGCGGGAAAGCUGGGAUUUUCACCAGAACCAGCUAGCUCCAGAAUUUACAUCCACACUCUCCAGCCUCUCGGCGCCCUUGGUUGGUACAGAUGCGUCCCAUCCUGGAGCCGGGGGUGGGCACAACGUCUCCUGAAGGGUGUUUGCUUUGAGGAUGGGAUAGAUGCUGAGUGGAAUCAGAGUGCCUUUAGGAAGAAGAGCUGGGAUGGCUGCCCAGGACGUCCCAAGAGUGGCCUCUCCCCUCUCCCUCCUCCCCUUCCCCCUCUCUCCUGGUCUCCUGGUCCCCUGGUCCCCUGACCCCGUGCGUGAUUGUAUAAAGUGGACAACUGCUCCCCUCCCAUCUCGGUGGCCCUCGUCAUGCUUUCUGCCCUGUCCCCUCCUUCUGCUUCUCGCUCUUUGAGUCAUGUUCCAAAAUGACUUUUGCAAUGUCAGAGCCAUAAAUAGAUUAUGAGAAGAAAAUCUUUUGUUUAAACAGAAAUUCUAAUUUUCUGAAAGGUGAUGAAUAAACACUCCGCGAUGCAUUAGAGAUCAGCAAAUCUUGUUUGCGCAAAAUCAUGCUUCAAUUUCUUUAUGUAAGCCGAAAAUAGCAGCCCUAACGACCUUGCCAGAAACCUCUUUGUGUCAAAGGAUUGGUCUCUCCAUUCCAAUCUGUGUUGCCCAGGAGAGGCUGAGCCUUUCCAUUCGGGUGGGAAAGUGCUUCUUAUGGAACCAGUUAGGGCAUAGGCUCGCCCCCGGGGCACUGAGCGGUUCCCUUUCUCCUGGAACUGUCCAAUCCCUUCACUUGAACGCAUCCUUGAGUGUGUUACAAAGUGCCUUUAUCAGGGAGGAGAAACACCCAGGGCCUGAGCCCAGGCGGCCUGAGCCCGACGCUUGGAAGCGCUCUCAGUGGUCGUGCAGUCUUUGCUGCUGUCAAAAUCAGAAUGUUCUUUUCAGCAGCUCUCAGCAGCAGCGCUAGCGACUGCUUCAACCACAGGCCAGAGAGGGUCUUCAGUGAGACACUCCAGGGUGGAUGUCACAGAAGACAUCAGGGCCGCAUCAGCCAAACAGGGGAGCUUGGCUCCUAAGAGAGAGGCUACCCCCCUGGCAGCGAGGGUGGGCAGUGUUCCACAUCCCAGCACAGCAGCGCACGUCAGCCCCAAACCUGGUGGCGUCUAACGACUUCUUUUUAAUGCUUGGAAAUGCCGUGGGUCAGAAAUUUGGACAGAGCACAGCAGGAAGGGCAUGUCACUGCUCCGUGAUGCCAGCACCUUCGCUGGGAAGCUCGGAGACAGAAGGCAUUUUCUCUCCCAUGGUUGCCGCUGGUGCUCGGCUGGGCCCUUGGCUGGAACUGUCAAAGCCCUGUGGGCUUCCAUGAGGGGUGACCUGCAAGAUCUCCCACUGCAGGGAGGGUGACUGCCCCUCAGCCCCAGAUGCCACAUCCUGAACGCCACUGGCACAUCUGUACUAAAGCCACGCCUGCCAUGGGCUGUGCCCAGCAGGUGACGGAGCGUGGCAGAGACAUCGAGCCUGGCCCCCUCCUGGAGAACACAGGACUCCUCUGGCAGGUGACCCAGGCUGGUGGACUCCCUCUGCCAGGCCUUCCCUGAAACUGCCCUCUGGGGGAGCAAAGUCCCCCUUCUCCUUAGGGGCAGGCAGUGCAGAGUGACUUCCACCCAAAGAGAAAUGGUACAGUGGGAAAAACCUGACACACACACCUCAGCCCAGGUCCAAGGUCAAUAUCAACAGUGAUAAAGCAGCUGAUUGGCUCAGAGUAACCCAGAUCUGCCCCUGGGUUGAAGGUGGGGUGACACUCUUUUGUGUUUAGGGGGUGAUCUUUGCAAGGAGGGAGGUGGUUGCCAGACUGGCCCAAAAGUACAUCCCCGCCCAGAGCUGGAGAGGAUGGCUGAAGACCCCUGGCAGGUCCCCUGCUCCAGACAGUGGUCCAGACAAGAGGUGAUGAUGCCCAGGUGAGCAGUGGACACUUAGGGAACUAAAUGAAUGAGAUGUAUAUUCGAGAGGUGGACUCAACAGGAGUUUUUGAUGGAUUGGAUGGCUCCAUACGAGAGCGAAAUUCGUUGUAUGGAUUGAAUGUUGUAUGGUUGUUUUUCUAAAUUCACUUUUGUAGUCGUCACACCCCAGAACCACAGAAAACACAGGGCCUUCUGAGAGGGGUGACCACAUGCUGCAUGGGUAACAUCACACGAAAUUGUGUAACAGUCAGGCCCUUGUUGGUUGGGGACGCUCCCUCUCCCCACCAGCGACUUCACCACGUGUUCUCGUCCUGAGCCCUUAGGAUCAUUUCACUCUGAUUUGGAGGCGUUUUUAAAGGGGGGAAAAAACAUGUAUUCAAUCCAUUCCAUAGUUAAUACAAUUAGCCACUUAAGACUGCCACUUGAUUAAAUUUAAAAUAUAAAUGCCUAGGUAUAAAGGAAGACGUAAUGGCUUUUAUUAAGCCAGCUCCAUUCAGUCAAAAGCCCAGUUCAGAUUUCAUGUGGUUUCACGUUUGCCUUUCCUGCUGAGUCACUCUUUUCAUGACCAGCUUCUGAAAUGAUAAAGCCCGCAUUCACCAACGUGGAUACCGCUAUCCUACCUUGAUGAAGACAAGAGAUGGGGCUUAUUACGUUGACUCUGCUCAGAAGGAGAGGGGGCCUGCCCAUGUGUGUUAUUACCGCCAAAGGAGUUCUGGAAUGAGUGAGCCCUAGACAGAGCGUGGAUCCCUGUUCGUAUACGCGCUUAUUGUGAUGGGAGCUGUGUGCGUAAGUACUUUGAAACUGCUCUCAGCCAUAACUGUGGUCUCCCUCCGAGCUGUACAUUUUGCCAUAAACCUUCAACAUCAUUUGGAGGCCGUUUAACUCUCAGUUUAUCCACAAACUUUUAGAGAAAACUGGGCCAUGUCCCAAAGCAAAUUACUCCUGAAAUGGGAGCUCGUGCCUCGUAAGUUCAGGCACUUUAAAACUGGUAAGGAAUAAAGACAUCCAAAAAAUAACCAAAAUUGAGAAGGACUACACCGAAAAUUAAGACCAUUCAAAUUUAAACUAAGUCAACCGUGAUAAAUUGGGGGUUUAGUUGUUUUGUUGUUGUCAGGCUGGUAUUGGGGUUAUUUUGGCUUUUCAGUUUAUUAAAUAUUUUAAUGAUUGAUGAUGUCUAGUAUUGGCAAGGAAGGGUCUACUCUCAGAAUAUGUUGAUAAAUAUACGAGUUGUUACAGCUCUACUGGAAGGUAUUGUGGCAAUAGCUAUUCGCAUGUGUUGAAUGCCCCCACUUCAUGCCUAGAUAUUAGACAAAAAAAAAAAAAAUACCCACAAAGGGACAAGAACAAAGAUGUUUCUGGUAGCCUUGGUUGCAAAGGGGAGCAUAUUACAACAACCUUAAAUCCAUCAAGAUCGAAAUAAACAAUAGCAUGCAUAUAUUCAGAAAGAAUGAGCUGGAUCAACCAACUCUGAUGAUACUUAUCAAGACACGAUGGAGUUCCCCUUGUGGCGCAGUGGUUAACGAAUCCGACUAGGAACCAUGAGAUUUCGGGUUCGAUCCCCGGCCUUGCUCAGGGAGUUAAGGAUCUGGCGUUGCCGAGAGCUGUGGUGUGGGUCGCAGACAUGGCUCAGAUCCUGCAUUGCUGUGGCUGUGGUGUAGACUGGUGGCUGCAGCUCCAAUUCGACCCCUAGCCUGGGAACCUCCAUAUGCCGCAGGAG